UCGGUUCAGUCGCAUCAUCUCUCUCCCACCUUCUUCUUCUUCUUCUUCUUCUUCGCAUGUUGCUCCCUCCGCUUGCUUCCUUUUCCUCUCUCGACGGAGCCACAUUCCGGCUCAAUGGGAGAUGCCGGAGCUGCAUCUGCUUCGGCCGUGCGGCCGAUCGUCGAAGACGGGACGCCCCCGUGUGGGGGCCACAGAGAGAGAGGAAUGGGGCUAUGAUCGGGGCACGGCGCUCUCUGUGGCUGCAAAGGCGGGGCUGAGCAACGACGUUCAGGCGGGCGACGGAUUCGAGGGCGUGCUGGAGUUGAGGCGGACGUGUGAUUAUGGAUAAAGCAUCCUGUGGUAAGAAAUUGGUCUUCAGGUGGGCAGGUUUUAUGUGUGUGUGUGUGUGUGUGUGUGUGUGUGUGUGUGUGAGAGAGAGAGAGAGGGUACAAGUUCUCACUCCCUUUGAGCAACUGAUUUUAAUUAUAGUCAGCUUAUAAUUUUGGCAAUGUAUUUCAUAUCAAUGUGCAACUGAUAUAGUUAACUAAUCUACCUUAAGUGGAUAUUUGUGCAAUAAGCUCGACACUAUAUUUUGACAAAUUUUUGUUUGACCAAUUUAAUUGUAGAUUAUCCAUUCAUUCA